CUGAAAACAGAUAGCCUCUCCACUGAAGUUGGUGAAACUUUAAGCCUAGUUUUACUCUAAAUUUAACCUUCCAAAUGGUGGAUGCGUGACGUGUUUUUACAUUGAUAAUCUUCCUUAUCCUGCGUAUUUCAUAAGAGAAUGGUUGUGAGAAUCUUCAAGGCAGCAGGUUUUGUGUUCCUGAGUGUGGUGCUUCUUGUCGUAGGGAGAGUCCUUUCUACCGGCAUGUGGAAGGAAAGACAAGAGCGGUA